rnacentral:rRNA from 2 species
GGCCACUGCUAUGGGGGUCCGACUAAGCCAUGCGAGUCAUGGGGCGCGCUCUGCGCGCACCGGCGGACGGCUCAGUAACACGUCGGUAACCUACCCUCGGGAGGGGGAUAACCCCGGGAAACUGGGGCUAAUCCCCCAUAGGCCUGAGGUACUGGAAGGUCCUCAGGCCGAAAGGGGCUUCGGCCCGCCCGAGGAUGGGCCGGCGGCCGAUUAGGUAGUUGGUGGGGUAACGGCCCACCAAGCCGAAGAUCGGUACGGGCCAUGAGAGUGGGAGCCCGGAGAUGGACACUGAGACACGGGUCCAGGCCCUACGGGGCGCAGCAGGCGCGAAACCUCCGCAAUGCGGGCAACCGCGACGGGGGGACCCCCAGUGCCGUGGCAUCGCCACGGCUUUUCCGGAGUGUAAAAAGCUCCGGGAAUAAGGGCUGGGCAAGGCCGGUGGCAGCCGCCGCGGUAAUACCGGCGGCCCGAGUGGUGGCCGCUAUUAUUGGGCCUAAAGCGUCCGUAGCCGGGCCCGUAAGUCCCUGGCGAAAUCCCACGGCUCAACCGUGGGGCUUGCUGGGGAUACUGCGGGCCUUGGGACCGGGAGAGGCCGGGGGUACCCCUGGGGUAGGGGUGAAAUCCUAUAAUCCCAGGGGGACCGCCAGUGGCGAAGGCGCCCGGCUGGAACGGGUCCGACGGUGAGGGACGAAGGCCAGGGGAGCGAACCGGAUUAGAUACCCGGGUAGUCCUGGCUGUAAAGGAUGCGGGCUAGGUGUCGGGCGAGCUUCGAGCUCGCCCGGUGCCGAAGGGAAGCCGUUAAGCCCGCCGCCUGGGGAGUACGGCCGCAAGGCUGAAACUUAAAGGAAUUGGCGGGGGAGCACUACAAGGGGUGGAGCGUGCGGUUUAAUUGGAUUCAACGCCGGGAACCUCACCGGGGGCGACGGCAGGAUGAAGGCCAGGCUGAAGGUCUUGCCGGACACGCCGAGAGGAGGUGCAUGGCCGCCGUCAGCUCGUACCGUGAGGCGUCCACUUAAGUGUGGUAACGAGCGAGACCCGCGCCCCCAGUUGCCAGUCCUCCCCGCUGGGGAGGAGGCACUCUGG